GGCGCGGGUCGCGUCCGUUUGUUUCCGGUUGAUCCUGCCGGAGGCCAUUGCUAUUGGAGUCCGAUUUAGCCAUGCUAGUCGUACGAGUUCAUACUCGUGGCGAAUAGCUCAGUAACACGUGGCCAAUCUCCCCUUCAGCGGCGGACACCCUGGGGAAACUGAGGCUAAUCCGCCAUACACCUCUCAGACCGGACUGUCGAGAGGUCAAAACGCUUUCCAGCGCUGAAGGAUGAGGCUGCGGCCGAUAGGUAGACGGUGGGGUAACGGCCCACCGUGCCCAUAAUCGGUACGGGUGGUGAGAGCGAGAACCCGGAGACGGAAUCUGAGACAAGAUUCCGGGCCCUACGGGGCGCAGCAGGCGCGAAACCUUUACACUGCACGCCAGUGCGAUAAGGGGACUCCGAGUGCGAGGGCAUACUAGUCCUCGCUAUCCUGUACUGUAGGGUAGUACAGUAUCAAGAGCUGGGCAAGACCGGUGCCAGCCGCCGCGGUAAUACCGGCAGCUCAAGUGAUGGCCACUCUUAUUGGGCCUAAAGCGUCCGUAGCU
rnacentral:rRNA from 1 species